AAUUCCACUUCCCACACCAUGGUUUAUUAUAAAUAUAGCACUAAACCUCAAGCAUUCAGUCAUUAAUUCAUCAUUCUUCUUCUGCACGUCUUUAUUCUCUUCUCCUCUUUAAAAUAUUUCUCCAUAUUAUUAAGCCUUUUUAAGGCCUUGGAAUCGCAAUAAAGAAUCACGUUUUCAACAAUUUUAUUUUUCACGUUCAUCUUCAAAAGGUAGAAAUUAGUAUGCUGGACGGCGGUGGAUGGAUGCAUAUUGGACCAAUGGAUCUCCAUCAUGAAGUACUUUAAUUUUUAAAAACACUAGAAUAUUUAUUAACAGUUGAUUAUUAUUAUUUUUAAAUUUAGACUCAAUUGUGAGUCACGUCAUAACUUUCAAUUAGUCCUAUUUUUAUUAUUUGUUAGAACUACUUUUAUUAAUGUUUGAUAAAAGAUAUGAUUCCAAAUUGUUCUGCAUAUGUUAUUUAAUUUAAUUUACCUUUUG